rnacentral:rRNA from 1 species
CUACGGGCUGCUGCAGUGAGGAAUAUUGCACAAUGGGGGGGACCCUGAUGCAGCAACGCCGCGUGGAGGAUGACGCAUUUCGGUGUGUAAACUCCUUUUAUAUGUCAAGAAAAUGACGGUAGCAUAUGAAUAAGCACCGGCUAACUCCGUGCCAGCAGCCGCGGUAAUACGGAGGGUGCAAGCGUUACUCGGAAUCACUGGGCGUAAAGGACGCGUAGGCGGGUUGGAAAGUCAGGUGUGAAAUCCUACAGCUUAACUGUAGAACUGCACUUGAAACUUCUAAUCUAGAGUAUGGGAGGGGGAGAUGGAAUUAGUGGUGUAGGGGUAAAAUCCGUAGAUAUCACUAGGAAUACCUAAAGCGAAGGCGAUCUCCUGGAACAUUACUGACGCUAAGGCGUGAAAGCGUGGGGAGCAAACAGGAUUAGAUACCCUUGUAGUC